AGGACUUCCGAAGUCAGGUCGGGCUUUUGAGCAUCGAGCCGUGGAGCUCUGUGGCGGUUCGCCCUCCUCCCGAGGCGCCUGCGGGCGACCUUGGGGUCCUGAAACCCCGGUGUGUCUGUCCGCCGGUCCGGAGAGGGCCAUGGAGGAGCCUCCGAUGGCGCCACAGAGCUGUCUCUGCAGGGCGUUCGGUCUUUUCCCCCGGGUCUUUGCUGCCGGAGCUGGGGUCCCCGACUCCGAGGCUCCCGCAGAGGGACAGCUGUCUCCUUAUUUCCCAGAACCCCAUGGCCCGGAAUCUGGAUGGGACCGCCUCCGGAAGCUGUUUGUUAAAGAUGAAUGGCGGAGAGCUGAAGAACUUCAGAGUAUUUAUAGGGCAGCGAUUUCAGCAGGCAUCAUUGGCUUUGCAUAUGGGGGAAUUCCAGGUUUUAUUCAUGCUAGACGACGCUACGUUGAGCAGAGCCAAGCAGAAAUUUAUCAUAACCAGCUUGAUGCUGUGCAAUCUGCCCAUCGUGCUGCCACACGAGGCUUCAUUCGGUAUGGCUGGCGCUGGGGUUGGAGAACUACAAUGUUUGUGACUAUAUUCAACGCAGUGAACACUGGUCUAAACGUCUACCGAAAUAAAAAUGCCCUAAGCCAUUUUGUCGUUGCAGGAGCUGUCACAGGAAGUCUUUUCAGAAUAAACUUAGGCCUGCGUGGCCUGGUGGCUGGUGGUAUAAUUGGAGCCUUGCUGGGUUUCAGGUUAAAUGUUUUUGGCAAGAAUACAACACCAGUGAAGUUAUGGUUCUUCUCCGUGUACAGCAUCAAGAGACAUGUCACCCAUUCUAAGUGAUGUAAAGUUUGAUUAGUUGGUGUUUUUGUUUCCAUGGCUGUGUGAGGAAUUACUGAAGAUUUAGCAGCGUAAAGCAACACUCAGUUAUUACCUCACAGUUCUCUGUAGGUUUGAAGUCCAGGUGGACUCAGAUGGGUUCUCUGCUCAGGGUUUCACAAGACCAAAAGCAGGAUGUUGGCCAGACUGGGAUCUUCUCUAAAGGAUCUGGGGAAGAAUCUGCUUCCAGCUUUAUUCAGCACUCCCAUAGGAAGCCUGUUGAUGGCAUUUCAGAAGCACCAUGGAGAGAGUGUUCAGGAGAGAAGACAGAAGGACCGACAGGCACUCCACACGCU